GUCUAUGGCCAUACCGCCCUGAACGCGCCCAAUCUCAUCUGAUCUCAGAAGCCAAGCAGGGUCGGGCCUGGUUAGUACUUGGAUGGGAGACAGAGCUGGGUGGGAUGCCUUGUUGAAUCCUGGGUUGGUGGAUG
ensembl:rRNA 5S_rRNA 5S ribosomal RNA